rnacentral:rRNA from 1 species
GUGAGGAAUAUUGCGCAAUGGAGGCAACUCUGACGCAGCCAUGCCGCGUGCAGGAAGAAGGCGCUACGCGUUGUAAACUGCUUUUAACCGGGAAGAAACCCCAGGACGUGUCCUGGGUUGACGGUACCGGAGGAAUAAGCACCGGCUAACUUCGUGCCAGCAGCUGCGGUAAUACGAAGGGUGCAAGCGUUAUCCGGAUUCAUUGGGUUUAAAGGGAGCGUUGGCGGAGCGUUAAGUCAGUGGUGAAAUCCUGCAGCUUAACUGUAGACUUGGCAUUGAUACUGGCGCUCUUGAGUGCGCUUGAAGUGGGCGGAAUGUGCCGUGUAGCGGUGAAAUGCUUAGAUAUGGCACAGAACACCAAUUGCGAAGGCAGCUCACUAAGGCGAUACUGACGCUGAGGCACGAAAGCGUGGGGAUCGAACAGGAUUAGAUACCCCUGUAGUCC